AGCUUUGCACAAUGGCAGUAUCAUAGCCAGUGAGGCUUAUCGGAGGUGUGAUUAUUGCUAAUUGAAAAAGAAAAAAAAAAAGGAAAACCACUUGAGCAUGUCAAAUUCAGGGCCGGCGGGCCACGAGUUUGACAUGCUUGAGUACAU